UGCACUCUUUAAAAAGGUGAUUUUUGUCCCCCGCACUUUUCCAAGUUAAACACAUACUGAGUCCAAAUGGUGGAUUUGUAUACGGUAUUCUUUGCGUUUUGUUACUUUGGGCUGAUUGAGCGACCAUCCAGCCAAUCACAGAUGCAGUUAAAGGGUUGUGUGAUGGCGUGACGGGGGGACGAGACCCUUCACAGAGCUGGUCAGUGCUGAACCAGAUCAAAGACGGGCAGAGCUCUACACACGCCAACACGCUGGAUUUACCCCCCUCUGGACUGCAUUAAUAAAACAGACCUGAACACCUACACUCUUUGGAAUUUGAUGGUUACUAGCUGGUUAUUGGGUGUUUUGCUGUGAGAUCUGUCAUUGGCUGCCGUUUGACCUCCUGCUAACAUACUGGACGCCUUAAAGAGAGGAUGUCCAGCCCUGCGCAAAUCCUUCAGCUGCGUCUUUGAAACUUUAGCACUCUGGUUCCCUGUGUUAUGUCUCUGAGU